rnacentral:rRNA from 1 species
CAGCAGCGCGGUAAUACGUAGGUGGCAAGCGUUGUUCGGAAUUAUUGGGCGUAAAGGGCUCGCAGGCGGUUUCUUAAGUCUGAUGUGAAAGCCCCCGGCUCAACCGGGGAGGGUCAUUGGAAACUGGGAAACUUGAGUGCAGAAGAGGGGAGUGGAAUUCCACGUGUAGCGGUGAAAUGCGUAGAGAUGUGGAGGAACACCAGUGGCGAAGGCGACCCUCUGGUCUGUAACUGACGCUGAGGAGCGAAAGCGUGGGGAGCGAACAGGAUUAGAUACCCCAGUAGUCCCUGUCUCUUAUACA